CCCUUAGAUGUUCUGGGCCGCACGCGCGCUACACUGACGAAGUCAGCGAGCAUGUCCUACGCCGACAGGUGCGGGGAAUCUUGUCAAACUUCGUCGUGAUGGGGAUUGAUUAUUGAAAUUCUUGAUCAUCAACGAGGAAUUCCUAGUAAGCGCAAGUCAGCAGCUUGCGUUGAUUACGUCCCUGCCCUUUGUACACACCGCCCGUCGCUACUACCGAUUGAAUGGUUUAGUGAGAUCUUCGGAUUGGCGCCACCGCGGCUCAGCAAUGGGCUCGGUGGAUGCCGAAAAGUUGAUCAAACUUGAUCAUUUAGAGGAAGUAAAAGUCGUAACA
rnacentral:rRNA from 1 species